rnacentral:rRNA from 1 species
CAGUCGCCACGGUAAUACGGAGGGUGCAAGCGUUAUCCGGAUUUAUUGGGUUUAAAGGGUCCGUAGGCGGACUUAUAAGUCAGUGGUGAAAGCCUGUCGCUUAACGAUAGAACUGCCAUUGAUACUGUAAGUCUUGAGUAUAUUUGAGGUAGCUGGAAUAAGUAGUGUAGCGGUGAAAUGCAUAGAUAUUACUUAGAACACCAAUUGCGAAGGCAGGUUACCAAGAUAUAACUGACGCUGAGGGACGAAAGCGUGGGUAGCGAACAGGAUUAGAUACCCCCGUAGUCCCUGUCUCUUAUAA